GUCAAACUUAACAGAAGAUGGCUGCUCAUGGUCACAUGGUUUGGCCUCCAUUUUGGAGUUUGCAUGUUUGAGCAGUUUCACUAGCGGCAAAGCUUUACUGACGGAGGCAGAGAGAGAGAGAUGGCAGGCCUGAAACCACAGAGCACACGAGAAAGGAUGAAACGUACUUACAAACAGAAAUAUCCCUUUUAAGCCUCUCUCGUCUGACUGGAAAAGACACAGGGAAUCAGAGAGGAGUGGGAAUUCUGGAAAUCCUGUUCACCGAGCAUUAAUGUACGAAACUGAUUUUUAAAGAGUUUGGUUGGAGAGAGCGUCGCUCACCGCCCCAGAGCCAAUUCGUCUCUGGUUUACACAUGCUGUCCUCUGCGGGCAUCCUGACCCAUUUUCCUCUGGAUAACAAUACUUCAACCAAUCACAGGGAAAACCGAGGAGCAGAACGCCCAAUUCUGCCUGUCAUGCACAGAAGCACGCGGGCCGACUGCGGAGGAGAAAUCUCAGCCUCACCCAGAACGGAGAAAAACCGCAUUGGGGCCUGAUGAAAACGUUACAGCCACUUUGAAUCAUAUUGGUUUCCCGGACAGGGCAAAUCGUAGUCCCAGACUUAAAUGUCUGUUUGCGCUAACACUUUGUACUGACAUAUCUUAACAUGUAUCAGUGCCAUUGUUUUGACUCAAGAUGCACACCAGUUGUAAGGGUUCUUUGUAAAAUCUAAUGUCCAAAUAUAAAAAAACGAUGUCCAAAUAUAAUGCCUAACCCGGAUGAAUCUAAAACAUGUCCAGAAAACCGCCCCAUAAGGUUUUCCUUUACUGUAAGUUUGGGGGCUUGAGCUUUCGUAUUUGUCAAAAUGCAAGAAUUUGCCCAUCUGGAUAAACGCUCUCUUAAUAUGCAGCAUUUAUGAGUAUUUAUGGAGCAGAUUAGCGCUAAUGAAUCUAUUGGUUACUGCUGGGCCUUGUUAGAUUCACCCCAUUAAAUAGGCGUUGGGCUGAAAGCUCGUUUUUCCCUCAGAUUUGUGAUUUUCACAGAACGGUCAGCUUGCUGCUCAAUGGUUUGCAAAAUGUCAACAACACGGAUUGGGAAAACAUGAAAAUUCUCCGCUGUGGCACCAGCUUGGGUUGACGCACCUGCCCUGAGAGAUCGCAGCAAGACGGGUGUGUGUGGAAUGCUAAGGACUCUUUAAACUGCCUGUAGCGGUUUGUUCUGUGGUUUAUCGCAGCAUAGCACAGCCGACUGCAACCGGAUCCUCCCAGAAUCCCUUGCGAAUUAAACCUGUGCAAUACCAAACAAUACUGAAUACACUUUAGCCAUUACACCACAGCAGCCUGCUACAGCAACAAUCUCUAUUGCUAGCCGAUAUAGAAAAUAUUUUAAUUAAUAAAAUAUCUUCAUGAUCUCUGAGCUGUUCACAAUACCUCCAUAUAAAGACGCAAAAAUGAGCAUGUUUACUUCAGCAUGCAGCAUUGUUGUUGUGGAUGAUCAGACUUCUAUUGCAUAAAAUUCAUCAUCAAAGUCAACCAAUCAGGUGGUGACCUUAUCCUUAUGCAUUAUGAUUUGUUAUCUUCAUUGAUAAAAUUCUAGUUUGAAUGCUAA